GAUUAUUAAAAGAAUCAUUUGAGAGCUCUAAUCCUAUGCACAUUGGUUAGACAACCUUUUUUUUAGUUUUGCUAUUAUUCAUCUCCACAAUUGAUUUCCAUUUGAUACUUGUCUUCAUCCCCAUAUCUCCAUAUCUGAUAUUUCAUGAGUUGAAGAAAUAAAUUAAUAUUUAAAGUUAUGUACAUAGUUUAAGAAAUUAAUAAAUGAUAUAAAAGUUAAAUACAAUUUGACUAAAAUAAUUUUAUUUAAUGCACAUUAGAAACUAAAUUAAAAGGAAAUGAAGGAAUAUAAAGUAAAAAAAAUAAGUAAUAAUUAAGGGUAUAAUUAAAAAGUAAAGUAUAAAUGUGUGCUUAAGUUUCUAAAACAUCAAAAAAAAAUUGUUAUAACAAUAAAGUUAAAACAUCAAUAUAUUUUGAUCCAUUAUCUAUUACCCAUCAUUUUAUAUCUUUUGAUGUUUCAAUUUUAAAUGUUAUUCCAAAUAUUUUGAUAUUCUAAAAUCUCAAUAAACAUUUAUACUUUAUUUUCUAACUAUACCCUAAUUUAUUUCUUAUCUUUUUCACACUCUAUCUCUCUAAUUUCUUUUAAUUAGUUUUCAACGUAUAUUAAAUAAUAUUAUUUUAAUCAAAUUGUACUAAAAUUCUACACCAUUAAUAAUUUCUUAAACUAUAUGCAUAACCUUAAUCUAUUUUGAACCUUCUUUACAUGUAUUCCACUAUGAGACAUAUCACUCCUUGUUAUCAUCCUACAUAACCAUCUAGUAGAGUAUCUUUUGUAGUACAGUAUUGAAGAGGCAAGUACUGCAAAAAUACAAAAAAUAAUAAUAUGAUUAUAUCUUUUUAUAUAUAAUCAAAAAACAUGUUUGCCAUUAAAAACAAUAAGGAAAAAAAGAAUUUAUCGAUCCAGUACCGGAAAGUAUCCUGGUUAUAAUAUUAGUACCACACCACUUUUUUUCCUCCAAGUUCACUUUUGUUACACUCCUUGAAGCUGGUCUAGCAAAAUAUCAAAUCUUCUUUUUCAUGGACACAAUUUCAGGCUUUCAUAUAUUCUGAAUCAAGCUGAACAAUUUGUCAUAUACAAAAGUUAAAAGUAAGGAGGAUCUUCUUGACCAUGUUUACAUUGUCAUUGUUCUUCUUUUUCUCUUCACUUUUGUGACAUGAUUUAUAUUGUAGAUAUUAGAGAACUAUGUCAAUGGAUAAGUAAAUAGCUAAUACUGCAAUUGUUUUAUGACAAAAAGCAAUAAAACACUUAAAAUACUUUAAUCUGCAUAAAUGAAUUUUGUUUGUUAUAUAAAUGAUGUUAUUUAUAAAACAAACAACUUAUUUAUGCAAAGUUUACUAAGCACUUUUUUGUUUUUUCUCAACAAGUUGCUCAAUUAUAUAUUAUUUGUCCUUGAAUAUAGUUCUUUCAUUUAUGUAAUACAAGUCAGAGGAGAAAAGCAUAUAGGAAAAAACAAUGAUAUUGUCAAAUAUGGUCAAACCCAAAAACCUUUGUGUCUUGACAUUUCUUUCACUAAUACCAAGAAACCAAAGGAUCAUAAAUUUAAUACAAACGAAUAAAAUAUCUUAUCAGAUAUAAGUUAUAUUAUCUCACCACUAAAAUCAUGAAAAACUAAAUAAAAAAAGAUCAUAUUUGAUGAUUUUAGUGAUUUUAAUGGUUGGAGAAAAUAAUAUAUCAAAAUGAGAAUAAUAUUGUAUUAUCUAUUUAAUACAAUUAUAUUAGUUAUUUAUUCAACAAAUUAUAAAAAAUGAUAUAAUUCUGACAAUCAAUCAAACUUCUAAAAUUAAUAACAAAUAUGGACUUAAUUAUUGAAUAACAAUCGGUUAGACUACAGGAGAUAAUAAAAACCCUAUAUAUUAAUGCAUCAGAAACAAUUAUGGUCUAUGAAUACAUCAAAUUACAAUUAGUUUUUUCUUCUCUAUAUUAGAGAGAAAACAAAGGGAUAAUUCUUUAACCUUAAAAUCAUCAAAGAUCCUUUUCUAUAGAAGAGAAAUAAUAAUUCUAUAACCUUAAAAUCAUCAGAAAUUCUUUUCUGUAUCCCAUGAUAAUUAGUGAUAGAUCUUGGAUUCUAGAACAAGAGAAACAAUUUACACUAAGUGAAUUAAAAUAUACGAAAUUAUGAGAAAUGGAUAUACUUGAAAACAAAAUUUCAGGAAAAGUAGUCUAUGGGAUUAAUAUGACAUACCUCUACAUUGGGUUAUUUUGGAUGAACGCAUUGAGUAUGUGUAACUCAUAUAAUGGGUCCUAAGGCAUAAUCCUAGAUUUAAUCACUAGUUAUACCUCAAUGAUCUAUACUUAGAUUCACGAUAAAUCAAGAAAUUAUUACAUAGUCAAACCAAUAAUAAAUAUUUGGUUGAAACUAUAUAAUAAUUUCGCUAGAUUCAAUGAAAGCAGAAACAAAAAGUGUCCAUGAAGGUGGUUGAGAUUUGAGAAGAGAUAAUGGAAGAUAUGGAAAAAAUGUGGUGAUUGAGAAUUUAAUCGUGAUCAAAUAAAGAUGAGAACGAGGGAGAGAAAGAAUCCUAAUUAAAG
rnacentral:lncRNA from 1 species